UAGGGAAUAUUGCACAAUGAGCGAAAGCUUGAUGCAGCAACGCCGCGUGCGCGAUGACGGCCUUCGGGUUGUAAAGCGCUUUUCGGGGAGAUGAGGAAGGACAGUAUCCCCGGAAUAAGUCUCGGCUAACUACGUGCCAGCAGCCGCGGUAACACGUAGGAGGCAAGCGUUAUCCGAAUUUACUGGGCGUAAAGCGCGUGCAGGCGGUUCGGUAAGUUGGAUGUGAAAUCUCCCGGCUCAACUGGGAGGGGACGUUCAAUACUGUCGGACUUGAGGACGAGAGAGGGAGGGGGAAUUCCCGGGGGAGUGGGGAAAUGCGUAGAUAUCGGGAGGAACACCAGUGGCGAAAGCGGCCUGCUGGAUCGUUCCUGACGCUGAGACGCGAAAGCUAGGGGAGCGAACGG
rnacentral:rRNA from 1 species